rnacentral:misc_RNA from 1 species
GAGGGCUGUGCAUCUGCGUCUGCGUUGCGAGGACACGGAUCCGAGUGCGCGCACGUCAGGCAACAUCCGCCGGGUCCUCCUCUCGAAGAGACAAAGAAAAUGCCGCCUACCGAUCCGCGGGAGUGGGCGAAGAAGGUGCGUGCCAAGACGCCGCAGCUGCUCGAGGUGGGCAAGCCGGUGCCAAAGGCCGUGCUUAGUUUUGGUGGCUGCGGCUUCCUCGUCACGUACGCACUCGGCGUCGCGCUGUACCUGCAGCAAGAGAAGAAGGAGCUCCUGGCCAACAGCUUCCUGCUGGGCGCGGGGUCAGGAGUGUUGCCGGCAGUGGCGCUGGCGUGCGGGCCGCGAGCCGUCAAUCUCGAGCGUGUCCGUGACUUCAUUGUGAACAACAGGUUCAUUGUUACGGACGAGGAGAAGCGGAUCGAGACUAUGGCAGCCGGCAUCAAUCAGCUCCUUCCAAAGAACGCCGUCGACUUGGUGAAGGGCCGCCUCGCCUUGACGAUCGGCUUUUCGAACAAGGACCCGGGAUACAUGGCACAGGCCAAGGAGAACGUCUAUUUUGGUCACCACAUUGCGGAGUGGACCGACUUCGAUGACCUGGCACAGAACAUCAUCGCAGCGACCGCGCCAAACACGCAGAAGCCGUGUGUGUUUCGGGGCGCGGACAACGUACUGCGCGGCACAAUGAUGUCGCUCAGUAGCGAGCUCGACCAGUACUGCCGGCACGUUUACAUCCACGGCUACGCUGGCUACCGCUACAACAAGAACCAAGCACGGCACAAUAUCAUGUUUGGUCGCCACGGGUACGUUGGCAACACCCAUUUUUCCUUUCCCAAGCAGGUGCUUAUGGCCUUCGCUCCGCUGGUGGGCGGAGACGUGCGCAAGGAUGAACUGCUCGAGGCGUACGACGUGGGCUACAACGAUGCGCGUCGCUACGAGCGGUGGGAGGAGGACCCGUACUACUUCGCCAAGGCAGAUCGGUCGCCAAGCGACGACUUUAACUUCCGCAAUCUGCGCGCCAACCUCUUCGGAGGAAAGAGCGCGUCUGAGCGGUUUGAGCUGUGAUGGGGCGGAUGAGAAGCAAUCAGCGGAGGGCAUGCGAUGGUGUUCGCGCAGGUAGGCAGCGGACGGCUGCAGACCUCUGCAUGCGUGUGCGUGAAAAGGGGGCUAGCAUGUGCUACUCCCCGCCUCUUUUCUCCUCUUUCUGGACUUCUGGGCAUUUUUGGCUGAUUAUGGCCUCCUCUCUGUGUGUAUGUGUGUGUGCCCGCCGUGCAUGCUUUGCGGUACGUGCCACGUGGGAAUAGCUUUUUUUUUUCGGGGGUGUUUGCUUGCUUAUCAGCCAUCUUCAGGUUGGCUAUCUGCGGAGAGACCCAAAGGAAAGAGGGAGGGCAAGAAAAGGCGCCACCUCGCUUACUUGCGUACUUAGCCCUGCGCCUCCGCGCACAUGUCUGCGCUUCCCCGGCUUAGUCGCAGGCCCCUCCCCGUCUCUAUCAUUUCUCCCAUCUUCGCUGCUGCCUUCAUUCUCCUCCCCCUCUGGGUCUCUCUUUCUCUUUCCGUAUCUGCAUGCGCAAG